rnacentral:lncRNA from 1 species
AAAAAUUUUAUUGCAUAUGUUCUCUGUCUCAGUCAUCAGUGGAGAAUGAGGGACAGAGGUUGGCUCAGGUCAACAUAUCAAAGCCCAUCAGCUCCUGUGAGCCGUCACAGUCUGACAGCUCUCUCCAGGCUCAGGUCCACAGCCUACAACAGCAGCUAGAGGACUGUGAAAAACAUUAUAGACAUGUGCUUUCAAUAUACCGAACACGGUUGCUCAGUGCAGCGCAGGGUUACAUGGAUGAAGAGGCCAGAGUGGCUCUGAUUCAGAUUGCCAAGAUUAGAGAGGAGUGUGUGUGUUGAGCAUUCACUGUGCUGCUGUUCCUGAAUGUGUGUGUGUGUGUACUACUGUUCAAAAGCAUGGGGUCUGUAAGAUUUUUUUUAAUGUCUUUGAAAGAAGUCUUAUGCUCACCAAUGCUGCCUUUACUUGAUAAAAAAUACAUAAAAACAGCAAUAUAGUGAAAUAUUACAAUUUAAAAUAACUCUUUUCUAUUUAAAUACAUUUUUAUUUUUAUUUUUCUCUAAUGGCAAUGUUCAAUUUUCAGCAGUCACUACUUUAUUCAUUAUUCAGUGUCAUGUAAAAUAAUUCUAAAAUGUGACCCUGGAGCACAAAACCAGUCUUAAGUUGCUGGGGUAUAUUUGUAGCAAUAGCCAAAAAUACAUUGUGUGGGUCAAAAUUAUCGAUAUUUAUUUUAUGCCAAAAAUCAUUAGGAUAUUAAGUAAAGAUCAUGUUCCAUGAAGAUAUUUUGUAAAUUUCCUACCAUAAAUAUAUCAAAACUUAAUUUUUGAUUAGUAAUAUACAUUGCUAAGGACUUCAUUUGGACAACUUUAAAGGCGAUUUUCUCAGUAUUUAGAUUUUUUUUGCACCCUCAGAUUCCAGAUUUUCAAAUAGUUGUAUCUCGGCCAAAUAUUGCCCUAUCCUAACAAACCAUACAUCAAUGGAAAUCUUAUUUAUUUAGCUUUCAGAUGAUGUAUAAAUCUUAAUUUCGAAAAAUUGACCCUUAUGACUGGUUUUGUGGUCCAGGGUCACAUAUGCUGAUUUGGUUCUUAAGAAACAUUUCUUAUUAUUAAUGUUAAGAACAUUAGUGCUGCUUAAUAUUUUUGUGUG